rfam:Gossypium raimondii Chr12_contig_132, whole genome shotgun sequence.
UGUUAAAAAUUUCAUUUAUUUCUAUUGUUAAAAACCAAUGUGGGUAAUAGAAUAACUAAACAAUUACACAUGAUGUACAACAUGUACCUCAUAGUGACGUACAUGGACCAAUUUUUAAUAGAUAUAAUGGAUGAAAAUUUUAAAA